AAAUUUUAGUGUGAGACGUCUAAAGCAAGACAAAAUAUUUGAAUUUUGAACUCUUAUCACUUGACGUAGGGUGGGCCACCAGGGUGGUGGUGAAUUUUAAAGGUGGGUCAUUCUAUUUUCUAUUGCGUAGACCCCACAAACAUGGGAUCUCUCCAACUGCACCGCCCAACAUCUCUUUUUCGACACCGUUUAGGUUAAAAGCUAAAUUUGAUAACAAUAAAAUAUGCAGAGUGGCAAAUUAAU
rnacentral:lncRNA from 1 species